GCCGGGGUAGCCUAGCCUGGGAAGGCGCGGGACUCGAGAUCCCGUGGGCGUGGUCCCACCGGGGUUCAAAUCCCCGCCCCGGCGCCA
rnacentral:tRNA from 2 species